rnacentral:SRP_RNA from 1 species
UCCAGGCGCAGUGGCACAUGCCUGUAGUCCCAGCUACUUGGGAGGCUGAGGCUGGAGGAUCGCUUGAGUCCAGGAGUUCUGGGCUGUAACGCACUAUGCUGAUCAGUUGUCUGCACUAAGUUCGGCAUCAAUAUGGUGAUCUCCAGGGAGAGGGGGACCACCAGGUUGCCUAAAGAGGGGUGAACCAGCCCAGGUCAGAAAUGAAGCAGGUCAAAACUCCCGUGCUGAUCAGUAGUGGGAUAGUGCCCAUGAAUAGCCACUGUACUCCAGCCUGGGCAACAUAGCCAGACCCCAUCUCU